rnacentral:tRNA from 1 species
GUAGCUCAGCCGGAUAGAGUAGUGGCUUCCGAAGCCAUUGGUCGGGGGUUCGAAUCCCUCC